rnacentral:lncRNA from 1 species
GUUGGUCGUGGUCCUGCCCGGAUCGGCUUAGGCGACGCCGGCAUGAAGGAGCGGGAAGCGGGCGGAAGAGGGAGUCACAGGACGGGUUUGGGCGGCCGCCCGGGGCCUGCUCAGAGGGGCCUGGCGCGCGCCGCUCGCUUCCGCCGGGGCUGUGGGGUCUCCCGGCAGGGCCAGGUCCUAGAGGCCGCUCGGCCGUCGUGCCCCGGGAGGAGCCGGAUCUGCAAUGGGGGUGAGGGCGCUUCUGUGGGGUCGCGUCAUCCUCUGUGCUCCUCCCUCCAAGGCUCCAAAGCAGCCUUGUGACUUUUCUCCAGGAGGAAGAGGAUUUCCGCUUUUCCGAGAAAAAUCACAAAGGUUGUUUUGGAGGCUUCUGAAGAGGGGUGCAGGAUGGGCGGAAAGACCCCAUGGAAGUGCCUUUCCCACAUUUUCCGACCCUGGGUAUCCGGGGACCUAUGGCACCAGCCGGCUAUCAUGCAGCCUAGGUGGAUGCGAACAGUGCAGGCCAGGCCUCUCUAAGCACGCCCCUCAGCGGCCCUCACCCAACCCGUCCUUUGAUUCCUUCCCUUUUCCUCCCUCCCAUUCGUGCGAACCUCACCAGAGCUCACAGAGGCUGGAACAGAUGAACUUGAUAUUCUCAUUGUUGCGCAGAGCCCCCAAGGGAAAAGAAUGCAAUGAACAAGUGACUUCAUUUCCGCUUCCUGCUUUGAUCCCGGAACAUGCAAGUCUUCGGCAUUCGAGUCAUCAGAAUCACCAUCUGGAUCAGGAGGCCUGUGACUAGCUGUGUCUUCCUGCCAGUCCUGAGGACGGAGACUAAACCUUCACCACUUUCCAGGCAGGAGAAGGGCAGCAGAUUCUCACCCUUGGUCAUACUCCAGCAGAGACACAGAACAGUCCAAGAAAACAAGUGCACCACCAAAUGGAGGUGAAGAACAUCAACGUUUGAGUGGAUAAAUUUUGAGGAAACCACAUCAGCAGUUGAGUUAUUGUAUGCAUCCAGGGGCCCUUGCCUGAGUCUGUCUUCCUGCCAGUCCUGAGAACCAAGCCUAAGCCUUCAUCACUCACCAGUCAUAGGAAAGACAAUGGAUCCUCAUUCCCCUGUCACACCUCGGCAUACAGGCAGCACAAUCCAAUUCAUCUUUGGCACAGAAGAGGCAACAACCGAACAACUACAAAAAUCCCACAAUAUAUUAAACAUUGAACAUACUCUCUUUUGGUUAAAGAAACAGAGCAUAGUCAAUAUGGCUCACACACUAGUGUCUUCCCUACUGUGCCAUCAUCCAUUUCAGGGACAUCUCCCAACUGUGCCACCAUUCAUUUCAGGGACAUCCUACAGGACAGGAGACAAGAUAAAAUUAG